GUCCUUGCUUGUCCUUCCUAAAAGUGCCUUGUCAAGGUCAGAUGAGAAAUUCUAUCAGAUUGCAGUGAGUGAUACCCCAAGGAUCUACUUUGCUUUGGGCAUUGGGUGAACAUUAACACUGGGUACUGGAACAUACCUUAGAAGAUUAUCAUAAAUAAAUCUGUAAUUUGAAUGUUUAUCUGUGAGGGUCUUACAUCGUUCAUCUACUAACCAGAUAUGAGUGCCAUGCCAAGGAAAAUCUGGGCAGAAAAAUGCUAAAUGUUUAAACAGAGCAAGUGGGCUUGAUCCACCAGACAGAGCUAAGUGAAAAACACCACUCCUUAUAACUUCUGUUGAUGCCUGUAGAAGGAGAUUUUCAGCUAAUGUCUUAACUACUUCAUCGCUAGAGCCAGUAACAAGAGAUCUUUGUCUGAAUAAACUUUUCUUGUACAUAUUGCUUGACCUCUCUUCUGGCUCACAACUACCAUAAUUAUCUAGUACACCUCUUGAACAACUCUCAUCUUUAAAAGGUUGAGCAAACUCAAGUCUUUGACCUCUGAUGGAGAAAUCAAGAGUUUCAAGGGUGUCUUUAGAAUAGAUUCUAGGCAUUACAGACUUAAGGCUGUCUAAUAAUCGCGUCCAAAUUUCCCAUGAUGCAAUGAGGUCUUCAGUGCUGAUGAACAGAUCUUGUUUUCCAUGGUAUGCUGCUUUUAUUAAAGCACUAUAAGCAUCAUGGGAUACAAAGGGUUCAAAUACAUUAAAGGAUUUACCAAGGCAGUCAUAUAAAUAAUCAGGUUUAGAACUCGUUAGUUUCCAGCCAGAAAACUCAGAAACUGUUGGUAAACUUUUUGAUACGAUUAGAGCAGGCUUCUCCAAGUCUCCACCUUGUAUAUGAAAUAUCAGCUGGUCUAAAAAGCAAUGAUCAUGGCUGGAUUUCAUGGUGUAUUUCUUUUUAAAAAAAAUUCUCACAUAUGCUGUUCUUUCUUCCAGAUGUUUCCCUGACAGCAAGACAAACGGCACACCAUUCCAUUUUGAGUUGUUAAGAAAAAGAAGUACAGCAGCAAAGGGUUUUGGAACAUGAAAAGACACAUGAAUAUCGGAUACAACUCAAGCAAAGAAUAUUAUUCUCAAAGAGUGAAUAACACUCGGUUUGAAAUGGGAAAACAUUACGCCCAAGCUAGAAAAGUCAGUCCCUGCUUACCUGAAAAGGGCGAGCCUGCUGCAUAAGACAGAGAUACAAAAAAAACAUAUAUCCCAUAAGCGACUCCCUUGCCUCGAGAUGGUAGACUAUCCAAGACAAUAUGCAAAGAUGACGUAAACACAAGACCUUCGCCAACGCCAUUGACGAUACCAUACAUUAUUAACAAGUAGAACUCAUUUAAUGAAGGUAAUAAUAGAUUCCCUACAGCCAGGAUGUAAGCACCAAGUUGGUAGAUAUGUGGAAGUGUUAUUAGGCUAGUGUUGCCGUAUUUUCCUACUAAGACUCUUGAUAAUAACGAAGAGAGACCGAUCGAGAAGUAGAUCCAUGAUGAGUGGUCACUCGGAAUCCCAAUAUCUUCACAGUAUUUCGCCUUGAGAAAGAAUUAUAGUAGAAUUAUAGCAGACAGUUAUUUUA
rnacentral:lncRNA from 1 species